rnacentral:rRNA from 1 species
GAUCCUGGCUCAGGAUGAACGCUGGCGGCGUGCUUAACACAUGCAAGUCGAACGGGAACCUCACGACGGAGACUCGGUUGAAGAUGUGAGAAUUCUAGUGGCGGACGGGGUGAGUAACGCGUGGGUAACCUGCCCAUGAGAGGAGGAUAACAGGGAGAAAUUCUUGCUAAUACUCCAUAUGCUUACGGUAUCGCAUGAUACAGUGAGGAAAGAAUUUCGCUCAUGGAUGGACCCGCGUUUGAUUAGCUAGUUGGUGAGGUAACGGCCCACCAAGGCUGCGAUCAGUAGCCGGACUGAGAGGUUGAACGGCCACAUUGGGACUGAGAUACGGCCCAGACUCCUACGGGAGGCAGCAGUGGGGAAUAUUGGGCAAAGUGGGGGAAACCCUGACCCAGCAACGCCGCGUGAAGGAAGAAGGCUUUCGGGUUGUAAACUUCUUUUAACAGGGAAGAUAAUGACGGUACCUGUUGAAUAAGCCACGGCUAACUACGUGCCAGCAGCCGC